rnacentral:rRNA from 1 species
AACGAACGCUGGCGGCAUGCCUAACACAUGCAAGUCGAACGAGACCUUCGGGUCUAGUGGCGCACGGGUGCGUAACGCGUGGGAAUCUGCCCUUGGGUUCGGAAUAACAGUUAGAAAUGACUGCUAAUACCGGAUGAUGACUUCGGUCCAAAGAUUUAUCGCCCAGGGAUGGGCCCGCGUAGGAUUAGCUUGUUGGUGAGGUAAAAGCUCACCAAGGCGACGAUCCUUAGCUGGUCUGAGAGGAUGAUCAGCCACACUGGGACUGAGACACGGCCCAGACUCCUACGGGAGGCAGCAGUGGGGAAUAUUGGACAAUGGGCGAAAGCCUGAUCCAGCAAUGCCGCGUGAGUGAUGAAGGCCUUAGGGUUGUAAAGCUCUUUUACCCGGGAUGAUAAUGACAGUACCGGGAGAAUAAGCGCCGGCUAACUCCGUGCCAGCCGCCGCAGUAAUAC